UGAAAUUCAAUGGGGAACAACCACCAAUCAGAUGUACAUCAAUCAAAACACUUUAUUCUAUCUGCCGGAGAGGAAACUCUGCAAAAGGGAAUAAUAGCAUUUUGCUCCACUGGGGACGGAAGUAAACAUUUUCACCACCAUCACUGAAUGCUAGAAGAAAUCUUCAGACUCGGAGGAGAUACAAACAUCAAACUUUGAUCUGGCAACCCUAUUGGGGACAAGCUGCAAAUACUCUUGAGGAAACUAUCCUUGCU
rnacentral:lncRNA from 1 species